GAUGAAGAACGUAGCGAAAUGCGAUAAGUAAUGUGAAUUGCAGAAUUCAGUGAAUCAUCGAAUCUUUGAACGCACAUUGCGCCCGCCAGUAUUCUGGCGGGCAUGCCUGUUCGAGCGUCAUUUCAACCAUCAAGCCCCCGGGCUUGUGUUGGGGACCUGCGGCUGCCGCAGGCCCUGAAAAGCAGUGGCGGGCUCGCUGUCACACCGAGCGUAGUAGAUUUUAUCUCGCUCAGGGCGUGCUGCGGGUUCCGGCCGUUAAACCACCUUCAUAACCCAAGGUUGACCUCGGAUCAGGUAGGAAGACCCGCUGAACUUAAGCAUAUAUAAGCGGAGGA
rnacentral:misc_RNA from 1 species